GUGAAAAAGCACUGAGCCUCUUGGUGCAAUAGCAGCUGUGCGUCCGCAUCUGAAUCAGGCCCCCUGAGCGGCAACCUACUGGCACAGCUGUUAGAGCGGUCCAUCUAUAUUGUGAGGAGAGGCUCCAAGCCCCAACCCAGCAGAAAGGGAUCUCCAGCACACAUACCAGUGAUGCCGCACACAUCGGAGGCAAAGCGGGUCCACAUCUGGCAGAAAGGAUACAUCUGAUUGCCAGUUGUCGCCAAAGAUAAUACAGGUUGAGUAUCCCAUAUCCAAAUAUUCCGAAGUACGGAAUAUUCCGAAAUACGAACUUUUUUGCGUGAGAGUGAGAUAGUGAAAUCUUUGUUUUCUGAUGACUCAAUGUACACAAACUUUGUUUAAUACACACAGUUAUUAAAAAUAUUGUAUUA